AAGUUUCCAAGGGCGCAUGGUGGAUGCCUUGGCAACAGGAGCCGAAGAAGGACGUGGGAAUCUGCGAUAAGCCUGGUGGAGUCGAUAACCGGACGUUGAGACCAGGAUUUCCGAAUGGGGAAACCCCGCACGACGUGUCGUGUGACCCCCGGUUGAACACAUAGACCGGGUGGAGGGAACGUGGGGAAGUGAAACAUCUCAGUACCCACAGGAAGAGAAAACAAAAGUGAUUCCGUUAGUAGUGGCGAGCGAACGCGGAUGGGGCUAAACCGUAUGUGUGUGAUACCCGGCAGGGGUUGCAUGUGCGGUGUUGUGGGCCCCUCCUUGUCAUGUCUGCCGGCAUGGCGCAGUGAGGUGCGGGCAUAUAGACGAACCAGUGUGGAUGCUGGACCGUAGAGGGUGAGAGUCCCGUAGUCGAAAUGUGUUCCGCCGCUGUUGGAGGGUUGCCCGAGUAGCACGGGGCCCGAGGAAUCCCGUGUGAAUCUGCCAGGACCACCUGGUAAGCCUGAAUACUACCUGUUGACCGAUAGCGGAUCAGUACCGUGAGGGAAUGGUGAAAAGUACCCCGGGAGGGGAGUGAAAUAGUACCUGAAACCGUGUGCCUACAAGCCGUGGGAGC
rnacentral:rRNA from 1 species